AAAGAAAAUAUCUAAGAGAGAGAGAGAGAGAGUGAAUUCGUAGAAGAGAGAAACCAAAGGGAAGAAGAUAGAAGCAAAGGGGGAAAAACAAGAUAACUUCUCCAAUUCACCAUCUAAGGUCAGGAGGCGAAGACCGUGCAACCGGUUUUGGAAACCCACUUUUGCGAAUCUAGUAUGGCAUCCAUAGAUAGUCCUAAGUGGACCAGUUUACGAGAUCU